UGUGCCUGUGAUAUUUGUUACCACAUAGUUUUGAUUAUUGAAUGAGAAAACGAUUUCAUGCACUACCAUCUGAGGCACC